UACGUAGGGUGCAAGCGUUGUCCGGAAUUAUUGGGCGUAAAGCGUCCGCAGGUGGCACCUCAAGUCUGCUGUCAAAGACCGGGGCUUAACCCCAGAAAGGCAGUGGAAACUGAAGUGCUAGAGUGCAGUAGGGGUAGAGGGAAUUCCCGGUGUAGCGGUGAAAUGCGUAGAGAUCGGGAAGAACAUCGGUGGCGAAAGCGCUCUGCUGGACUGCAACUGACACUCGAGGGACGAAAGCUAGGGAGCGAAUGGG
rnacentral:rRNA from 1 species